rnacentral:rRNA from 1 species
UCAGACGAUGCGUCAUGCAUAUCAAUAAGCGGAGGAAAAGAAACUAACAAGGAUUCCCUCAGUAACGGCGAGUGAAGCGGGAAGAGCUCAAAUUUGAAAUCUUGAAAGGUCACCUUUCACGAAUUGUAGUUUAAAGAAGUGUUUUCUGUUACGAUCGUAAUAUAAGUUCUUUGGAAUAGGACAUCACAGAGGGUGAGAAUCCCGUCUAUGAUUGCGAUUUGUAGCUUUGUGAUACACUUUCAAAGAGUCGGGUUGUUUGGGAAUGCAGCCCAAAACGGGAGGUAAAUUUCUUCUAAGGCUAAAUAUUGGCGAGAGACCGAUAGCGAACAAGUACCGUGAGGGAAAGAUGAAAAGAACUUUGAAAAGAGAGUUAAAUAGUACGUGAAAUUGUCAAAAGGGAAGCGUUUAAUACCAGUGUUGUUUUCUGAAAAUCAACCUCUGUUAGCUUUAUGCAUGUUUGUUUAGACCUAAUCAGCUAUCUUGCAUGUUCUAUUGUUUGCAGUGGUGCACUUUCAGUUUACAGGUCAACAUCAGUUUUUUUUACCGUAAAAAAGUUAAAGAAAGGUAGCUCAUGGCUCCGGUCGUGAGUGUUAUAGUCUUUUUCCUAUGCGGUAGGAGAGACUGAGGUCUGCAGUGUAGGCUAUUUGGCUAGAUACUCAGGUGCUAUGUGAUACCAUUUCAUAAACAACUUGUUGAUUAUGUUUUGUCUAUUGCAUACUCGCUUGUACUAUCAUACCUACGCUUAGGAUGUUGAAGACUCUACAGAGAUA